rnacentral:rRNA from 1 species
GACGAACGCUGGCGGCGUGCCUAAUACAUGCAAGUAGAACGCUGAAGGAGGAGCUUGCUCUUCUGGAUGAGUUGCGAACGGGUGAGUAACGCGUAGGUAACCUGCCUGGUAGCGGGGGAUAACUAUUGGAAACGAUAGCUAAUACCGCAUAAGAGUAGAUGUUGCAUGACAUUUACUUAAAAGGUGCAAUUGCAUCACUACCAGAUGGACCUGCGUUGUAUUAGCUAGUUGGUGGGGUAACGGCUCACCAAGGCGACGAUACAUAGCCGACCUGAGAGGGUGAUCGGCCACACUGGGACUGAGACACGGCCCAGACUCCUACGGGAGGCAGCAGUAGGGAAUCUUCGGCAAUGGACGGAAGUCUGACCGAGCAACGCCGCGUGAGUGAAGAAGGUUUUCGGAUCGUAAAGCUCUGUUGUAAGAGAAGAACGAGUGUGAGAGUGGAAAGUUCACAC